rnacentral:rRNA from 1 species
UACGUAGGGUCCGAGCGUUGUCCGGAAUUACUGGGCGUAAAGAGCUCGUAGGCGGUUUGUCGCGUCUGCUGUGAAAACUCGGGGCUUAACCCCGGGCCUGCAGUGGGUACGGGCAGACUAGAGUGCGGUAGGGGAGACUGGAAUUCCUUGUGUAGCGGUGAAAUGCGCAGAUAUCAGGAGGAACACCGGUGGCGAAGGCGGGUCUCUGGGCCGUAACUGACGCUGAGGAGCGAAAGCAUGGGGAGCGAACAGG